ACACUCCUGCGGGAGGCAGCAGUGGGGAAUAUUGGACAAUGGGCGCAAGCCUGAUCCAGCCAUGCCGCGUGAGGGAUGAAGGCCCUAGGGUUGUAAAGCUCUUUCACCGGUGAAGAUAAUGACGGUAACCGGAGAAGAAGCCCCGGCUAACUUCGUGCCAGCAGCCGCGGUAAUACGAAGGGGGCUAGCGUUGUUCGGAUUUACUGGGCGUAAAGCGCACGUAGGCGGACUAUUAAGUCAGGGGUGAAAUCCCGGGGCUCAACCCCGGAACUGCCUUUGAUACUGGUAGUCUUGAGUUCGAGAGAGGUGAGUGGAAUUCCGAGUGUAGAGGUGAAAUUCGUAGAUAUUCGGAGGAACACCAGUGGCGAAGGCGGCUCACUGGCGCGAUACUGACGCUGAGGUGCGAAAGCGUGGGGAGCAAACAGGAUUAGAUACCCCUGUAGUCCCAUG
rnacentral:rRNA from 1 species